rnacentral:misc_RNA from 1 species
GAUGAAGAACGUAGCGAAAUGCGAUAAGUAGUGUGAAUUGCAGAAUUCAGUGAAUCAUCGAAUCUUUGAACGCACAUUGCGCCCCUUGGUAUUCCAUGGGGCAUACCUGUUCGAGCGUCAUUUGUACCUUCAAGCUCUGCUUGGUGUUGGGUGUUUGUCCUUGCUCUAGUGGCGGGACUCGCCUUAAAGUAAUUGGCAGCCAGUGUUUUGGUUUUGAAGCGCAGCACAAGUCGCGAUUCAAGUCUAUACGCUAGUUUCCACAAGUCUUUUAUCACUUUUGACCUCGGAUCAGGUAGGGAUACCCGCUGAACUUAAGCAUAUCAAUAAGCGGAGGA